rnacentral:rRNA from 1 species
AACGAACGCUGGCGGCAUGCCUAACACAUGCAAGUCGAACGAUCCCUUCGGGGAUAGUGGCGCACGGGUGCGUAACGCGUGGGAAUCUGCCCUUUGCUUCGGAAUAACAGUGAGAAAUUACUGCUAAUACCGGAUGAUGUCUUCGGACCAAAGAUUUAUCGGCAAGGGAUGAGCCCGCGUAGGAUUAGGUAGUUGGUGGGGUAAUGGCCUACCAAGCCGACGAUCCUUAGCUGGUCUGAGAGGAUGAUCAGCCACACUGGGACUGAGACACGGCCCAGACUCCUACGGGAGGCAGCAGUGGGGAAUAUUGGACAAUGGGCGCAAGCCUGAUCCAGCAAUGCCGCGUGAGUGAUGAAGGCCUUAGGGUUGUAAAGCUCUUUUACCAGGGAUGAUAAUGACAGUACCUGGAGAAUAAGCUCCGGCUAACUCCGUGCCAGCAGCCGCAGUAACAC